rnacentral:lncRNA from 1 species
GGGUGAGAAACACUUAGUCAGCAUAAUCCCUGCCAAUCACACCAGGGCUUCCGGUAAUACCAAGAGGGGAGCGGGUGAGAAGGUGGAUUCUGAAUCUGACCACGUAACUCUGCACUGCCACGAAGGCCCCAGCUCAUGCCCCGCGCUCAGCAGAGAGUGGGCUUGGGCCUCAUCUUCCUGUAACCGGGGGCUGGGGACCACUUUGAUCUCACUGUUCCCCUUGCUGCUGUUCACACCAGUACGGCGCCUUCAAGAAGUUAUCCCAGGGCAAUUUUCCACCUUUGAAGUCCCCGGAAAACCCUGCCAAAAGCCGUUCUGGUGUGAGGAUGCUGCAGGGGCAGGCAGCCUGGUGCCGCGGCCUCCCGGGUGCCAGAACUGGAACAUCGAGACAUCAAAGGCGAAGGUGGCAGCAGGGCGAUGAGUAAGCUCCGCUGCAGGCUUGGCCUCGGCCCCAGAAGCCUUCUCCUCAUCUCCCAGUGGUGGCUGAGCAGGACUAGGGAGACGACCCAGAGAGCCUGGAGACCUGGCUUGGGGGAAGCCCUGUGGAUGCUUCUGGAGGCGGACACUUCCCUGCUGCUCUGUGCCUGGUAAAGGCACCGACCACUGCAGAGCAGAAGCAGAGUCCAAUCCUGGCUCCAAAGCGCCCCUGACUGCAAAGCUUUGGUACUGUUAUUACCACCGUGAAACAGGUGGGGAAACUGAAGCAUGAGGAGCUUGAGUAAUGUGUGUUAGAUCACGCAACCAGUAGUGGCAGAGCUGGAAUUCCGACCUGGGACUGCCUCCAAAGUUCUUGCGUAAGAAUACAGCUGCUACACUUGCCCUUCUUCAGCUGAGACCAAGGAGGGAAUUCUGAUUGAAAGCAAACCAGGGAGGAAAGAUGCACUAGCACUGACCUGUAACAGGUCAAUCUGUGCCAUGGCAUGGCGAGACGAAGUGGAGAACCCAUGUCUCAUUGGAAUCCCGGAUCAUCGUCUCCACGAAGGCUGUCUUCUGCAGCACUCCAGGGACUCACGGCUCUGGGCUUAUUGCUCAGUGUCAUGUGACAGUUUGUACCAGGCACAUCUCCAGAAUUGUUGUCCUUUAGAAAAACAUCUUGGUUCCAAUGAGAAAACAAAUAAAGAAAGCUAGAGUCUUAAAAAGCGAAUUCGGAAAUCAAUCUAUCGACCAGAUCAUUAUCGGGGGCGGGGGGGCCGAAGGGGUCGGGGAGGGCCAUGGUGGUGAAUAGAGAACAACUUUUCAUAGCUCUCCUUUACAGGAAAAUCCAGUAUGGUUUAUCUCUUCCCAAAAUAUUCAUGAUGGUCAUGAAGUAACCCCUGAGCCUGGAAUUGAGUUAAGUUUGGUAUUCACAAAGCUGUGUAACUUUGAACAGGUUGCUUCCCUUCUCUGAGCCUCCGUUCCCCUAUCUGGAAAUCUUGUUAGAUCAUUUCUUUUUUUUUUUUUUUUUUUUUCAGACGGAGUCUUGCUCUGUAGCCCAGGCUAGAGUGCAGUGGCACAUCUCGGCUCACUGCAAGCUCCACCUCCUGGGUUCACGCCAUUCUCCUGCCUCAGCCUCCCAAGUAGCUGGGACUACAGGCACCCACCACCACGCCUGGCUAAUUUUUUGUGUUUUUUAGUAGAGACGGGGUUUCACUGUGUUAGCCAGGAUGGUCUCGAACUCCUGACCUCGUGAUCCGCCCGCCUCGGCCUCCCAAAGUGCUGGGAUUACAGGCGUGAGCCACCGUGCCCGGCCCUUGUUAGAUAGUUUCUAAGAUCAUUAUAGUUCUAACAUUCUGUGAAUUUAGUGCCUGGCAUACACUAAGUGGAAGGAGAGAGAAAGAAAGGAAGGGAGAGGUGAAGGGAGGGAGAAAUCAAUCUGUGAAAGCUGUCUUUCAUAGAGACAAGAAUGAGUGUCUUUUCUGCCUCCAAGGACACUGCCUCUAUCUCCUCAGCACAUGCUGAGUUGAACUGUUGAUAAUGUAAUAAGCUCUGCCUCAUUCUCCCUUGAAAUACCACUUUUUAGCCUGUGUUGUCACAGAAGAAAAUGAGUCAAUUAGAGAAUUCAAGCAAGAGUGCUCUUUAAAAAGGACAUGUAGAUAGUUAAUUGCAGUCAAUUAGACCUGUUGUCUUGGUGGCUGGGUCUCCAGAUAGGAGAAGAAUGGGAAACGCCCAAAGGUUACUCAUCUCUGGCAAGGAAACGCUGAGCUGUGCCAUUUGACAGUGGCAUCCAGGAAGUGUUGGAGCAUCCAACCCUGUCUCCAGGGAGGCUGGCCUCUUCAUCCCUGAUCUCAUCUGCAGGACUUUUUCCCCACUAAGAGGAGCAAAGUUCAAGCACUUUCUCCUUGCCACUGGAGAGAUGAGACACAAAUCAUAGUUAAAAGAAUGGCAUGGCAGGGCUGUGGGACAGCAGGACACACUGUUCUCAGGGAAAUGGUUAUUGGGCAUUUUGCAGAAUGUUUUGAGGAAGCAACUGCUCCUAAGAAUACUGUUAUGUUUGAGCAAUUUCAGACAAAUCUUGGAAAGUUUCUUCACAUGGUGAUAUCAGUUAGGCCCUAUCAACCUCUUCAAAUGAAGCCAAAAUUACCUCUUCUAACCCAACUCCAUAGCUGGUAGAAAUCUAGUGCUACCCCAGAUUCCUGCCAACCUCCAUGUCAUGGAGAUUGGCAACCAAAUUUAUAUGUUGAAGUCCCAGCCCCCAGUACCUUGGAAUGUGCCCUUAUUUGGAAAUAGGUUGCUGUAGACUUAAUUAGCUAAAGUACAGCCACAUCCAAGUAGGGUGAACCCCUAAUCCAAUAUAACUGCCAUCCUUAUUAGAAAAAGAAAUUUGGAGAUUGCCCCACCCCUCGAACCCACACAAACACGGAGAAUGCCAUGGGAAGAUGAAGGCAGAGAUUGGGAUGGUGCUUCUACAGGCCAAGGAAUGUGAAGGACUGCCAGCAGCCCCCAGAAGCUAGGCAGGAAGCAUAGAACAGUUCCUUCCUCAGAACCCUCAGAAGGAACCAACCCUACCAACACCUUGAUCUCAGACUUCCAGUCUCCAGAACUGUAAGACCAUAAAUCGUGUUGCUGAAGCCACUGUCUUACAGUUUGUGGUAUUUCGUUACGGGAGCCCUAGCGAAUGAAUACACUCUGCCCCUACUGAGGAGAUGGUGUUAUGGGAGCUUUGGUCCUCCAGGACCCGCCUCCAGAGCUCUGCCUUUUUCUAUACCUGCUCAACCCAGAAGUGAAACUGCGCUCCUCUUUGCCUGACCCACCACUGGGCACUCAUAUGAAGCUUAUGUGAACUUACUAAAGGUUUGAGAAGGAUGCAAGUCAAGGCCAGUCCUGAAGUGCACACUCUCCAUAAUCCCUGAAGACUCAGACUCUCCUCCUUUACCCUCUCUGUUCCCAAAGCUCCUGGAAGCUCAAAUUCCUUCUGAGCUUUCUCCAUUUUUUUUUUUUUUUUUUUUUUUUUUUUUUUUUUUACAGAGCAGUUUCCCACAUCCUCUGAGAAUUUGCCACCUGCUGCCACCCAGACCCUGAGGAAAGACCCCUUCCUCCAAAGCUCUUUUCAACAUAUUUCUCCAGGCAAAGCUAUUUUCUUCCUCACUGGCACAAAACAUUUUUAAAAAUUAAAUCAUUGUCACUGAUUAAAACAAAAAGAUACUGACUGUAUUAAUUUUCUAUUGCUGCAUAACAACUUACUACCUAUUUAGUAGUUUAAAACACACAUGCAUUUUCUCACUGUUUCUGUAGGUCAGGAAUCCAGGCACCACUUAGUCGGGUUUUCUGUUUAAGAUCUUCUCAAGGCUGCAGUCAAGGUGUUGACAGGGCUGUGUUCUCAUCUGGAGGUUUGACAGGGAAGAGUUCACUUCCAAACUAGCUUGGGCUGUUGGCAGAAUUCAUUUCCUUGUGGUUGGAAGAGGCAAGCCCUCAGCAUCUUGUUGGCUGUGGGCUAGAGGGUGCUCUCAGCUCCCAGAGGCAGCUUCUCCUUGCCAUAUAGGCUUUCCAACAUGGCUGUUCACCUCCUUAAGCCAACAAAGAGAGUCUCUAGAGUGAGUCAGUUAACAAGACAGAAACUUUCACAAUGUAAGGUAAUCAUAGGAGUUACAUUUCAUCACCUUUGUCAUAUUUUCUUGGUUAGAAACCAGAGGUCCCACCCACACUUAAAGGGAGAGAAUUACACAAAGGUGUGAGAGUUAAGGAUCAUGGGAAGCCAUUUUAAAAUUUGUCUGCAUAUGACAAUGCAGCAGGUACAAUUGGCUCCCCGGCAGCCAGCCCACCCCCUAGCUCCAGGGGAAAGCCUGAUUGGUCCAAAGGUAACCAUGCUCUUUUCCAUGAUUGGUUUGGGAAUGAGCAUGUGACCCAUCUCCAGCCUAUGAUGUGAGAAGUGUACUGAGUAACUUCUUAGUUUCCUUGCUCCUAAGACGGAACUAGGAAAAAUGAUGGUUUCUUUUCUUCCUCAGGAUGUUUUAGUGUUUAGUUGGAACCCUGGAUCUGCAGCAACCAUCUUGCUACCAACUUGAGGGUGAAGCCAGCCGUAAGAAUAGCAGGCCGGAAAGAUGGAAGAAACCUGGCUUUCCAAUGUCAUCAUUUGGUUGCUGAAUCAAUUGUACCUAAAGCUCACUCUAUCUGUUUUACCUUGAGUUAGGGUUGCCGUUGCUUGCAGCUAAACGCAUCUUCUUUUUUUUUUUUUUUUUUUUUUUUUUUGAGAAGGAGUCUUACUCUAUCACCCAGGUUGGAGUGCAGUGGCGCGAUCUCAACUCACUGCAACCUCCACCUCCCAGGUUCAAGUGAUUCUUGUGCCUCAGCCUCCCACGUAGCUAGGAUUACAGGCGUGAGCCACCACGCCCGGCUUAUUUUUGUAUUUUUGGUAGAGAAGGGGUUUCGCCAUGUUGCCCAGGCUGGUCUUUAACUUCUGGACCUUAGGUGAUCCACCCGCCUCAGCCUCCCAAAGUGCUGGAAUUACUGGCAAGAUCCACCACACCCAGUCUAAAUGCAUCUGAAUAUAACAUGACUCUCCUAGAGAAAAACCUGGAACCCAGAGCACCUGAAUAGAAACUCUUAAUUAUAUCAAUGAGGAAUAGUUAACUUAGCCAAGUUUCCAUUGAAUAUGAAGAACUGUAAAAUAAUGUCAGUUCUAGCCAAGAACUGAAAAGUAAUGUCAGUACUCUAUAAUGUGUAAUUCAUAGUUGCUACAUGUAAUCAGGCUUGGCCAAUUGUUUCCAGGAAGAUGGCACCCUCAUUUCUGAAUGAGGAUGACCAUUUUCCACUAAUCCAGAGGUAAAACAGUCAUUGUAACUGCACUGAAAUUUGCUGUAUCAAGUGAGACAUGAAGGUAAAUGUCAUUGGCCCAGAGUAAUUAGUCUUUUCCAGUGCUUAAAGGAAGGGAGAGAAACUAAUGCCUAUUGAGUGCCUUCAAAGCUUCUGCAAUGUGCUGGUACCCACAUGUUUCCAAUUAUUCCUCACAACACUAUGGAGAGGUUAUUUUGCCUGUUUUGCUGAUCAGGGAACUGAGACUCACAGAGUGACACCAACCCAUCAGUAUUUCAGGUUUCUGGGGAGGGUCCAGAGAGCAAGGGGGAAGCUGCUAAUUGCUUGUUGGUUCAAGAGAAAUGUUAUCUCAGUAGACUAACGUAUGGACUUUCUGAUGUCAGAAAAUGCAAACUAUGUAGUGUAACCUGUUUGCCAUUUUUUCUUUGUAUCCGCAAACUGACAGCAAAAUAUAUUGCACAAGUAUUAUAAAUCUGUUCAGUUCAAGUGCCAGAGAACAUUUACUCUGCUUCCUUCAUGAGGUAAUUCAAAACUUUGUUUUUAAUAUUUAUUGAGUGUCUGGGUAGGUAAACUGCUAUGCCGUCCUAUGGGGAAUUUCAGAUGUGUUGUCUGUGUGUGUGUGUGUGUGUAUGUGUGUGUGUGUGUGGUGUUUUCUGGUUUUGAUUGUUGACGUUUUCUUGAUUUUUUUUGACAGGAGCAUCUUUAGAUAUUUAUUUAUUUUAUAAUUCAUACAUACAUAUAGUAAAAAGUUCAGAUAGUUUUAAAAUAUAGUGAUGUGUAAAUCUCCCCUCACUUGUGAGCCCCAGGCAUUCAGCUCCCCUCCCUAGACGCAAUUAUUGUAGUCAGUUCAAAGCUUGUUUGUGCACAUACAAGUCUCUGUGUAUAUCCUCUACACACACCCAGAAGAGCAUACUAUACAUGCUCUAGACUGUGUUAUGUUUCUUUGAAUGGCUACGAUGUAAUUUAUUAAUCCAGUUCCCUAAUAAUAGGCAUUUAGGUACUUUUCAUGUUUUUCUCAAUGUGUAAUUGUACCAUUAAAAUUCUUGGGUUUUUUUUUGGUUUUUUGGUUUUUUAUUAAGAGUCUCGCUCUGUUGCCCAGGCUGGAGUGCAGUGGCGUGAUGUCAGCUCACUGCAACCUCCGCCUCCCAUGUUCAAACAAUUCUCGUGCCUCAGGCUUCCGAGUAGCUGGGAUUACAGUCGCCCACCACCAUGCCUGGUUAAUUUUUUUGUAUUUUUUAGUAGAGACAGGGUUUCACCAUGUUGGCCAGGCUGGUCUCAAACUCCUGACCUCGAGUGAUCCGCCUCUCUUGGCUUCCCAAAGUGUUGGGAUUACAGGCAUUAGCCACAGCGAAAAUCCUUGUAUUCAUGCCUUUGCCCAUGUUUGCAAGUAUAACUGGGAGAUAAAAUGCUAGAAUUGCAGGGUCCAAAAAAAAGCACAUUUUAAUUUUAACAACUAUAACCCAGUUGCCUUCCAAAGAGGCUGUACACAUGUUUCCCUGUCUCAAACAGUGGUGAGCAUGCCUGCUCCCCUACAAACUCACCAGCUCAGAGCAUUAUCAGGCUUCUCAUCUCUGCCAACCUGGUAAGUACAAAGGGCAUCUCUUGUAGUUUCGGUUGCAUUUUUCUCAUUAUGAGAUUGAGCAGCAGACAAUGUCUUUAAAAGACUUAUUUUGCUCUGGGUUUUAAUCUUAAAAUACUCUAAAUCCUCUUAGAAGUAGGUAGGGUCAGAUCUUCAAUCUGGAUGGAUUUACGUAAUGGGUCUAUGAAAGGGAUAGAAAGUCAAAGCAAGGGGGUGAGGCGGGGGAAUGAUGCGAAGUCAAAGCCCUCCCCCUCGGGGGCCCCUAGCCCAUCCCUGAUCCCUCACCCUUUGCAGGGCAUGUCCAGAGCUGCCACUGCCCUGGGCCUCCACCCCACAGCCCAGGACCACACCUUAACCUGGAAAGUCGUGGACCUCCUCAGGGGAGCUCAGGGAUCAGAUGGGCCGAUGGGUGUUACUGUGGCCAGGAGCACUGGGUCUUGAGUAUGUGGGUGGAACUUUCCCUCAUCCCCUGACCACGUCUAACCACAUGGCCUCUCCACUUUGAUAGUGGCGAGAAGAGUAGCCUCUUGCUUUUGCAUGUUUUCCUAAUCACAGCGUGCUUUCUUGUCUGCUAUUUCAUUUGACUUUUUUCAACCAGCCGCUGAGGUGGGGAUUAUUAGCACGCCCUUUGCAGAUGAGGAAACUGAAGCCCAGGGAGCUUUGGCAACCUGCCCAAGGUCACACAGCCAGUGAAGGAAAGGGCUGAAAUCAAACCAGGCCUGUCUGACUGCAAGGCAGGGUCUUACGGCUGCCUCCGGUGGGUAGGUCCGGGACCCAGCUGGUUUCCGUCCUGUGGCUCAGGUGCGAGGAGAGCCUCCCUGGGCCACCUGGGGAAGUCUGACUGACGUGCCAGAUCCUCACAGAACAAAGGUAAGGCCUCAGCCUUCCCCCUGGCCCAGGUCUUUCCAUGUCCAGUGCAUUCCUGAAUGCUCCCAGUACUCUGGAAAAUGGGGAUUCAUGCUGCCAUUUUAAUUGGAACCCAAUCUGUUCUGACUUCAAAUCUAGUGCUCCUUCUCCAUCCACCCACCCUCCCUGAACCAUGCCCAGGAGAUCGAGAGAUUUUCCUAAUAAACAAGUCAUGUGCUACAAUGCAUGUGCUACACAACCACUGCCCGCUUUGUCUCUCCCCCUAGGAGAGAAGGGGACUCCUGAGAGGCCCCAGCAGCGUUAUCUGGGCAGAGAAAGUGAGUUUGAAGACCUCACACUCCAUCUGGACUUUAUCAGCUCCUUUCCUGGGUAGGAUUACAGUAAACGAUUAUCUACAGAUCUGGAGCCAGCAAGGACUUUGAAGGCCCCAAUUGCCAAGGGGGUGGUGAAAUGGGGGAAGGGCUGGAGACGCAGGAGAUGAAAAAGCAGUGCAGGCAUCUUAUCUUCCUCCUGAAAUCAAACAGGCUGGGCCUGGGCAGGGUGGGAGAGGUACCCUGUCUGUGAGGCUGACAGUCUCUAGCCCUGGCUGGCCACAAAAGAUACAGAGAGAACCAGAUGAAGGCCCUUCACUGUCUUCUCCUGAUCCUCUCUCCCUCCUCCUGGUUUCUUUUAUUAAUUCAUUCAUUCACUUGCAUCUUUCAGCCUGUUAGUUACAAUAUCUGACACGCUCUGAGCUCUCCCGCCAAGCCAAGUGCUUAGCAUCCAUCCCCUCAUGUGGUCUUCACCAUGACCUUCUGGGAGAGGUGCCAGAAUUAGGCCCAUUUUACAGAUGAGGAAAAUGAAGCCCCAGAGGCUAAGUAAUAGGAUGAGCCUGGGAUCACACAGCUAGUAAAUGGUAGGGUCUGGAUUCUCUUAAACCUGCAUACAUUUAUUCUUCCAUUUCCCCCUGCCUGCCUGCUUUCCUCUCAUAAUUCAUUUAUGUAUUCAGUUUUUCAUAUUCCCAUUGCUUGUUCAUUUUGAAGUUCCUUCCCUUCUUGCUUAUGCAUUUCUUCUGUCCCUUCCUGUCUUCCUCCUGUCUCUUCCUUCCUUCCAUGACCACAUCCUGAGCCUACUGUGUGCCCUGUCACCCUGCCAUCAGGACAUGGGGCUCCUGACAGAUGACUGCUGGGGAGGGAUAUGUGAGACCACCUCCUCCAGGGUCGACCUCCUCAAAUGAGGCUUUUGGGCUGUGCCUCCCUAUGCCUGAUUUGUCCCAGUGUUUGCCAAAAAUUUUAGGCUUUGAUAAUCUUGUGAAGAUGUUUCAGCCAAGCAAGUCUUGAGACUCCAUUGGUGUGGGAGUAAAAGUGGCCUGGGGAAGCCACUUCUUGCAGUUUCCCCUAAGCAAGGCUCUUUCUGUCCUUGCUGUUCUGACAUCCACUCCCUCAGCAAACAUCAUUAAGGACCUAUCAUGGGCAGCCCCUGGGGCCCACUCCCAUCCUCUAGCUGUCUCGAUUUCAUACCUCCCUAGCUCUAGAAAAUUCACUCCUAGAAGGCAGGGAAUUGGCGUCAAGGAACGGGUUCACAGCCUUGGACUCCUUUAUUCAUUCAUCUUUUUUCCUAGCACCUAACACAGGGCCUGGCUUAGACUGAAGGCUAAUAAAUACAGGAUCAAAAGGCAGUGAACCAUCAUUCUCUGUCACUCUCCAGGAGCUGGCCCACUCACCGUGCUAGACAUUGUACUGGAUAUAGUAGUCCCGCAUCGUUGUAUCACUCUCAUUUCUAGCUGGAGAAGUACCCCUCCUUUUCUAGGUGCGGUUAUGGGGUCGCUAUCACCUGAAGUGCCCGCCACUCACCCUGUAGUCUUGGGUGGGUAUGUGAUCUCAGCUAAAACAGUCGAGGUCUCUCUCCCUGGGCUUGGAAUUGUAAACCAAGUGAUGCAGAGAAAGAAAAAACACAAGCCCUUGGAGCCCAUCACAUCCCAUCACCGAUGAGGCUGUCCAGCGGUUCUGGCCCUCAGAAGCCCCAGAGAACUCCAGUUUCUGUCCUUUUCCGAGUGUGGCUUUCUGUCCACUUUAUGGCUGCUCAACCUCCCUCCAGUAUGCCCCUUCUCCCCUUAGUCAGUGAAUGUCUGUUUCUGUGCUUGCAAAUGAUAAAUCCUAAAUGAUGCCCCAGGACAUGGUUUCCAAGGCCAGCUAUUGGAGCCUCACCAGAAAUGUUCAUUCUGCCUCAUCAGUGUCUUGGCUAUUGCCUUUUUGGAACUGCUCUGACCUCUCCUCUUUCCAUCCUGCAGCACCCCCUCUCUCAGCACCAGGGAGCUCCUCCAGGAGCACUUCCUCCCAUGUCUGUGUUCGCCGUUAAGACUGGACACACCAGGAUGAUCUUUCAACUUUGGGUCCAAAGGCCCUCAGUGGAUGUAAAAUAGGUACAUGAGGCCUUGAACUGAACAUUUUUUUCACUUCACCAUAACCUGGAUUUUCCCAGUUUAGGAGCAUCUGUUUGUCUUGAUAACGUUUGGAACAAAGUGAAAAAAACUGGACUUUGAAGAGAACUUCAGGUGAAUUACACAUUUAAGUCAGAUUUUCCAUGUCUUUGUCCCAUGUUCAGUAAUUCAAGCUGUUAGGAGCCCUCAACUUUGUACAUAUAUUUCCUUCCUAUCUCUGCCUCUUCAUACCUGGUACUUACCGUGGAAUUUGAAAUCUUUCUGUGGCUGUAAGCAAGAAAGGCGGGAAAAAUACAAGAAGUUAAAGGGGAUUGGAUGGUUCAGAUUUGGUUGAUGAAUGAGAUGGUUUAGAGGCAUGUCUUGUAAGAGAUAAUUUUCUAUGUGCCAGGUACUAUUUAUGAAUCCCACAUUAUCUUAUUAAUGCUCACAACAAGCCUUGGGGGUAAAUAGAUUAUCAUCGCCAUUUCACAGAUUAGGAAAGUGAGGUUUCAGCAGUCAAUUGCUCAAAGGUCUCCUGCUAGUGAAACAGUCGUCUAUCCAAACAGUCUGAAUGACCUGUGCACAUGGGAACGUGCCACGCAAGCCAAGGGCAGGAAGGAUGAGAAGAGGUGGGCAGAAAGCCAGCUGGGAUGAAUGAAGGACCUACUACGUGCAGGCCCAGGGUCAGACAUUUUAUUUUCUUGAUUGCACUUCAGCCUCCCAGCAGCCCUGUUUUACAGAUGAAGAAACUGAGGCUCAAAGAGCUGGAGAAAGUUGUUGCCCAGGGUCCUGUGGAGAGAAAACUCAAGCUCCGGCUGUUCCACUACUCUGGGACACCACCCCCAGUGGGAACCCCACUUUUACAAGGAUUCGAAGGUAGGUGAGGACUUAUCUCCUGAAAUAAUUAGUAUACUUACUUUUUUGUUACAUAUUCCCACUAAAGGUUUGCAGCCCCACCCAGCUUGAAUAUCAGGAGAAUGGCAACAAAAUCUGGUUCAAGGCUCACAGAAUCCACGAAAGAUGCCAGCCCCUCCACGGUUGGAGAGUGAUUCACAAAUGUGUCUUUAAGGACUUUCCCAGGCCGGGCACAGUGGCUCACACCUGUAAUCCCAGCAAGCCGAGGCGGGAGGAUCACCUGAGGUCAGGAGUUUGAGACCAGCCUGGCCAACAUGAUGAAACUCCGUCUCUACUAAGAAUACAAAAAUUAGGCAGGCGUGGUGGCAUGCACCUGUAAUUCCAACCACUUGGGAGGCUGAGGCAGGAGAACUGCUUGAACCGGGGAGGCAGAGGUUGCAGUGAGCCAAAAUCACACCGCUGCACUCCAGCCUGGGCAACAGAGUGAGACUGUGUCUCAACAACAACAACAACAACAACAAACAGAAAAAAAAGAAAAAAAAAGGACUUCCCCAUCUCAGAGCAGAAGACAAACCCAGGUGACUCUGAGUCUGCACAGAAAAGGCAAGGGUGACCAAGAGUGAGGAGGUUAAGCACCUGUUGCUUUCAGCUCAGGUCCUGACCACAGCCCUUAAUAAGGACAAACCUCUCAGAUUGCUGCAGCCUUCAAUACGCAUGUUCCUAUAGUGCCUGGCCAAUAAGAAGUACUUACACAGUAGCUGUUAUUAUUGUAAAGGCGGCGCAAAGAGUUAAGGAAGGCCGGUAGCUAAGCUGAAUCUGAGUUGCAUCUUGUAGGCCAUGGUAUGUGAAAGAAGGGCAGGCCAGGAGGGGGAACAGAGUGAGUAAAGCCCAGAGGCAGGGGCAUGGAAAAGCAGGGAGGAGUUAAGCUUGGGGCAAAUAUCCUAAAUGAAGGGGAAUAAAAGGCAACAAAGUUUGCAAGUUGCACCGGGGCCACAUCUUGGAGUUGUUUGAGAACAUGUCCCAUGAGGCUGCAUUUAACACCAGCCACUCGCGCUUCCACCCCAACAGCAGGAGUAUCACAUCCACAUGCCAUGUGCGCAAUUCCUUACUUUAUAUCCUCCUCUAAGAUAAAUCUACCCUCCCUCUUUUUUAAGCAUAAGAGCAUUUAUUCUAAAAGGAAACUUUUGGCCAGGCAUGGUGGCUCACGCCUGUAAUCCCAGCACUUUGGGAGGCCUAGGCUGGUGGAUCAUGAGGUCAGGAGUUCGAGACCAGCCUGACCAACAUGGCAAAACCCCGUCUCUACUAAAAAUACAAAAAUUAGCCGGGUGUGGUGGCACGUGCCUGUAGUCCCACCUACUCGGGAGGCUGAGGCAGAAGAAUUGCUUGAACCCGGGAGGCAGAGGUUGCAGUGAGCUGAGAUCACACCACUGCAGUCCAGCCUGGGCAACAAAGCAAGACUCUGUCUCAAAAAAUAAAUAAAUAAAUAAAUAAAAGGAAACUUUUGCUCACUAAUGGAAAUGGAAGUGGCACCUGUCAUAGGCAGAGACAAAUUGUCAAAGUAAACAACUUUUAAGUCUCACUAGACACUCCUGCCCCAGCAGAAUCUGGUCAAAAGCUAGGUCAGCAAAUUUCAGAGGCAGUAUUAAGGACAAAGUAGCAACAAUCCAAACUUUCUUUUUAGGUACUCAGAAAGACUAACAGAACAUUGAGAAGGGGUGUUAGUCACAUCCCCAAACUGCAAGAGGCCAGAAGAUAGCGAGGGGUCUUUCAAACAAUCUAAAAUCUGAGACCCCAAUGUUGGAAAAGAGAAGGAAGGGAAUGGGUUAAAGUGCCAGUUGCUCCCUCCUCAGAUAGCAGGGCCCUGGACAUCCCUAAGAUGUCCCCUUCCUCUUUCAUCCUUCCCUGAUUCCAGCCUCCCCACCUUCCCCAGGCUGGCUUGCCUGAUUUUGUGAGCUCUUCAGCCGGCUUAAAGUGUAAUUCUGUAUUUCUGAUUCUAUCUGUGUUCCAGGAGGCAUUAUCUCUAUCUCUGUAAUAGCUUCUCAAGCAAAAACAUUUUACUGGGUAAAAGAGCAAGGAAUAGGCAUGACCUGAUGCUGAUUUAAAGCAAGAUUCCAGGCAAGCCCCAGAGCCCUCUCUAAGUAGCCUCUCUCCUUUCUGCUGUCUAACGAAACAGCUCCUAAUGGCCAUGGUAUCAUAUUGUAUCUCAUAUUUACACAGCACUCGGCACACAUUCACUUAUUCAGCGGACAUCCAUUGAGGGCCUAUUAUGUGCCAAGUCUUCUGGGUGCUGGCAAUCAACAGUGAACAAAGACCCGUGAGGUUCUUGCUCUACUUGGGAAAACAGGCAAUAAACUCUGAAACAAGUAAAUAAACACGAUCAUGAUGAGGCUACUGAAAAAGCAAUGUGGUAGCAGCGUGACGAUGAUGUGCCAUGGGAGACAGGUGGCAACAUCAAAAAAGGUAGACUGCCCCCGCCCUCCGAAGAGGUGGCAUGUGAGCAAGAAGGAGCCAGCCAAUGGAAAGCUCUGAAAGCAGAGUCUUUUAAAAACAAAACAAAAUCAAAAAACAAAAACAGGGCUCAAAGAAGAUGUCUGCACUUCUGCCAGACGGGGCAGAAAGAAGAUAAUGGUGCUCCAAUCAGGGAGACUGUGGAGGCAGUACAGGUGACAGGAGGCAGGGAAACGAGAAUUAGCCAGAAACACAGUAGGUUUGCCAUGUCAGUCAGACACUCGAGUGUGUUCUUGCUCUUCUCAACAAACCAUAAAGUAAGGACGAUCAGUGUUUCCCAUUUUACAGACAGGAAAACUGAAGCUCGGGAAGGCUACCCAGGUACAUAGGGGCAGUGGUGGGAUGUGAAUCUAUGGUUUAGGAUGCUGACGCCAGCACUAUCCCACCUGCCUCAUGGUAGAGCAGUGUCCAGACACAGAGGUGGCAAUGCAGCAGCUCAAGUGGCAGCUCCAGCACUGCAUGUGUUUUGUCCGUUCUACAUGGGUUUGGAAAAACUCACCUGAGCUAGCGAUCAACUCUUAAAUAUAACCCUUCACUCAAAAAUCUGGCUGUCUAUCUGAAAAUAUUUGAAGACCUGGUCAUAGUGGGACCAUGAUUUGAAUGACAACAAUGGGCUGGAGCAGUAUCUCUGCCCACCUUGAGAGAGGGAUGGGCACUCUGUUUUUCCACAGCCCCCACCUCUCCCGAUUGCUUGCCCCGGCCCCUUCACUCCUCUCCAUUGCAUUCAUGGCCUCCCUAUGCAUUCGGCUUUGAGGCCCCAGCUCUCUAGUGAUGAAAUAUGUGGGAAGAUCCACAAAGCCCAGCAAACGAGGAGUGACCAGAGGAAUUGAGUUACAGUUCCUCCCUAGAACACUUUCCUGCCUUUCUGAUGUAAUCACUUUGCGCAAACAGUAGGAAAUGUUCAGAAGAGCUGCUACAAGGCGGUGAUUAAGAGGUCAGGCCUGGUUCUUAAUUCUAGCUUCAGCAAGUCCUAUCUGUGGGACUUGGGCAAGUUCUAAAAACCUCAGUUUCUUUAUCUGUAAAGCGCAAAUAAUAAUAAUGCCUACUUUAUAAGUAGGAUUAGGGGAAACAGUAAUUUAGGAAACGUGCUCGGAAUGAUGCUAGUUUCGUGGUGAGUAUCCAAUAGAUGGAGCCGUAGUUGUCUUUCUCAUCUUAGAAAGCAGCUGAUUCUCCCAUGUCAUGACAGUGUUUGUGCAACUCCUCUGGAAUUCUCUCCUUUCUUCCUUAGGAGAGCAUUUUCUCAAUGUUCCUCUUUAUCUUUCUCCAAACACAAAGACAAAUCUAAGAGGAAAAAAAAAAUCUUCAAACUGGGUCGCAGAUACUCAGCUUCUUGUCAAUUCUCAUUAGGGUUUAAAAGCUCAGUCUCCUGCAUAUGCCCAAAGAUAAAGCAAUCCCUUCCAUUCCUAAUUCAAAGAACCAAAAAAAAAAAAAAAACAUGUGGUUGGACCUGGUUGAAUAUAUAAACUUUUGGGGAUGGCAAUAAACUAGGCAAAGUCCUGGUUAUUCAAUUUAUUAGCUCAGUUGUGCAACGUAGAAAUAAACAGAAAAUUACUUAUAAUUUUACAAUAAUAUUCAUUUAGAAACAUCACUUUUCUCCAUAUACGUGUUGCAUGAAACAGCUUUACUCCAUUCUUUGCCACACAUAAGGAGGCCGAGGAGGGAAGAUGGCAUGAGGCCAGGAAUUCAAGGCUGCAGUGAGAUAUGAUUGCACCACUACACUUCAGCCUGGGCGACAGGGUGACACCUCAUCUCUAAAAAAUAAAAUAAAAUAAUAAAAAAAUUUUGGAAAUUUUUAAAGCGUCUGCUCCACAGAGCCACAUUUUGCAUUGUGCAGUUUCGUUUUUCAGACCUUUCUCCUCUCUUCCAUCUGACUGCCCUGAGAUCCAGCACUUUUUGCUUCCACAUCUGAGGCUGUCGCUGGAAACAAGGUCUCCAUCCCAUUUGCAUGACAUGAGCACAGUCGGGAUUUGUAUUCAUUCUGUGGGUGUGUGUAUAUUCGUGCUCUCCACAAAAGAACCACUCAGCAUUGCUUUUUCAAGCCGAGCUUUAAAAGGCUUAUUUGCCAUGACAUCCAGCACUUGUAAUUUGAGGUCAUACCCCGAGGAAGAAUUGCUAAAUCUGUGUAAAAUGUUUCUGACUCCUUUUCUUACAGAUUCUGUCAGAUUAUCUCUUUAAGAAUUCUAAGCCCAUGUUGUUUGAGGUGGUUUUAGGCUAAUGUACAUUCCCCAAACAUUUCUUUGCUGUUCAAAAUAAAGCAAUUGAGAGGGUUCUUCGUAAAAACGAAGCACUUUGCAAGAGCUCAAGACAAAAGACAACUCCCUUUUUUCUAGGGGGUAAUUUUGAGGAUAGAAGAAAAACAGUGUUCUAUGUAAGCCUGUACAAUCACGAGAGCCAUUUGCUGAGGGCCAUGUGUGCGAGUGGUUCGUGUGCUCUCCACCUCCUCUUCUUCCUCCCAGGGGAUGAAAUGAGGCCCAACAAGUGCAAGACAUGGACCAUGUCAGCUCGUGACAGAACAGGGCUGGAACCCAAGUCUGCUAGGCUCAGCCCACUCCCUCCCUGUGCCGAGUUGACAUAUUCUACUUACAUUAAGCCAAGUGCUGGGCUCUGAUUAUACAAAAUCAGAUAAGCCAGGACCCUGUGUUCAAGGAGCUCCCAGGCCUGCUGGGGUGAGAGUGGAGCAGCAAGGAUGGAAGUGCACAGAUGCAAGGGUGGCCAGGCCUAUGGGGAUACAGGCAAGGGAGGCUGAGUGUU